rfam:Streptomyces sp. 769, complete genome.
CUUCAGCGACCCGAGCCACAGCGCCCGUUCGCGGUCCUGGCCGUAGGUGGCCAGCAGUGCCUGGGCCUC